CAUCUUUUGCAGCUGGAGGUGGCCACGUGACUAAAUUCUGACCAAUGAGAUGUGAGCAGAGACAUGGGUGCAACUUCUUCUAGACAUGCUCUUAAAGAGAAAAUACACGCUCCCUCCCACUUCCUCUUCCGACUCUGAGAGAGUGAGGAUGUGCGGUGAGCCCACAUGGGCCAUGGGGGUAAAGGUGUCUCCUGGGGAUAAGGGAGCAACAAGACAGGAGAAGAAAUGAGCUUAAAACUGAUUUGGAAAAGCAAGGUUUCUGCACAUGAAACAAGAGGAGAACACUGCUGUGAUGGAUCUCCAUUUCUCUUCUCUGCCCAACAUCCAUCUCCUCUUCUGACAACACAUUCUGUUUUUCCUUUCCUGGAAUUGCCACUCCACACUGAACGCUAUUAGGAGCUUUUCGGCAUUUUUCAGGAAAUAUAUGCUAUUAAAGAAUCCAAUAGUCAUUUUUACCAUGUGGCCACGUAGAGCUACACAGGUAGUCAUGUGACUCAGGCCAGACCAACUGGAGCAUCACGUUCAGGUAGCUGCAGCAGUUGAUCCAGAGAUGGGCAGAAUGUCAUCAGAAGCUUGGCAAAAAUGUACCUUCUGAACUGACUCUCGUAGAAGUUACACAUCACUCCUAUAAGCUCAAAGGAUAUAUUCUCAGCUGAUGUACCAGUAGAUACUAGGCUGUAGGAUGUUCAGAGACUUCAGCUUCUUGAGAUGCCCCAACUCCCCACGGAAGAUGCUCUUAGGUUGGUGGUGAUGAAAAGUCUCAGAAGUUCCCAGUGAGGCAUCAUACUGUAAAACUGUAGCAUCAGGGUUGCAAAAACUGACUUUAGCAAGUCUUGUCAAUUUCUUAGUUCGCCAUUAACACCAGCAUGUUGCCCUGGGCACAAGUCACGUGAUAACCACCAAGGGUCCCUAUGCUGGUGCCACAGUCAUCUCAUGAUUGACAGUUAUCUCCCGGCUUUAGGGGGAGGUGAGCACAGCAGGCCGAAAACAAGCAUGUGCCCAAAUCAGACCCAGUGAGACUUCGACAUGGGAAUUCUUCAGAACUGCUGGGAAAGAUGGAAAUCUGCUCCCUGCUGGUGCUGUUAAGAGGACAAGACUCAAGGUGAAGCUGCUGGUAGCCAUCUUGCCAUUGCAAGGUGGAAAUCUUGAGACGGGAGCUCACCCAGAGGAAGAGAGAGAUGGAGAAAACCAUGUUGAGUCUUGACACUAUCACUGGAGCCUCGGAAUCUAGCCACGCCUAACGUAAGCUUUACUCCUGGACUUUUCAGUUUUGCAGCUAACAAACUGUCCCUUUUUAGUUUUGCUUGAGACAGUUUAAAUUGUAAACCUUUACUUGUGAGCUACAACACAAACAAAUAUGUGACUCAGAUUACAAAUGUGGUUAUUUCAGGGAACAGAGAAGAAAUUAUUCGUAGAAUAACUAGGUUAACUUCUUGCAGGACAUGCAGCAAAGACUUUUUUUGCAAACUAGAGAAUAUUUGGGUAAGUACAAAAGGGAGGAUUCUAUGUUCUGAACAAAUUUAUAAAGACAACAUGAAAGAGGAUAAAAGGAAGGGAAUGUGGAAACAGUCUGAUGACAGAAAGGGCACCAUACAGACGGUCAGGGUUCUAGCCCUUCCUUGGAUACCAGCCAACCUGAUGGCCUUAGGAAAGCUGCUUUUCCUUUUUGGGACUUCGUUUUCCUUUAUGUUAAGCACGAAAUUGGACUUGUAGUCUCUAAGAUUCCCUCCGGCUCUACCUUCCAUGGGUCUGUGAAACCUGAAAAGGCUGCUCACAGUCCUGUGCAUUUAGACAUCUCCAUAGAGUUCCUUACACGCUCUUGGAAUAUAGAUUCUUCUUGGUCUUUUGUCAUCCCCUCCACCCCCUACUUCUUAUCCACUUGGCAAAGUGCAAUCUCUUCCCUUCAUGUUCUGAAUGAAAUGGAAAUGGACAAGCUACAUUUGGUGAAAAGCCACGACUUUUAAGCUUUGAAAGCCCUUGACUGUGCCCAGAGAAAGCUCCCCUCUGAGUGAGGGUGAUGAAAGCAGUGGGAAGGGGCAGCCUGGUUAAUUGUGCUUCUGCGGAGAUUAAAGCAUGAGCCGGGAACUUGCAGGAACUUUGCUCUUUCUGAGCUGUCUUCCUCUGCCCUCUUCCCUUUCUGUGAAAAAAGACUUUGGCAUCAAGGUCUAAAUUAAGAUCCAAGCUGUAUUAUAUGCAAAAUAGAUACUGCACUGGUCUUAUCUCAGCGCAGCCUGUAGCAUCUGCUGAAAUGGCAUCGUGUAUCCCCCAAAGAAAUAUUUUCAUGUUCAAAAAUCCAGUGAAGAUUGACACCAGUUCUCACCUGGGCUCACAUUCUUAGUUGGAAUGUGUUCUAGCUAAAAACGGUUGAAGAAAGACGUGUAAAAAUAA